rnacentral:snRNA from 1 species
AGCUUUGCGCGUAGCCAAUGAGGUUUAUCCGAGGCGCGAUUAUUGCUAAUUGAAAACUUUUUCCUAAAUUUUCACUUAUUAAGGUUUUUCCUAUCAUAGGAUCCUCAGUACCAAACUCUUGCUAAGCGAAUUCCCGC